CAAACGGCCCUUUUCAGGGCCACCAUAAAAUACCAAGACCUACCAU
rfam:Cyphomyrmex costatus contig23869, whole genome shotgun sequence.